AGAGUUUGAUCAUGGCUCAGAUUGAACGCUGGCGGCAGGCUUAACACAUGCAAGUCGAGCGGGGAAUGGUAGCUUGCUACCUGACCUAGCGGCGGACGGGUGAGUAAUGCUUAGGAAUCUGCCUAUUAGUGGGGGACAACAUUCCGAAAGGGAUGCUAAUACCGCAUACGUCCUACGGGAGAAAGCAGGGGAUCACUUGUGACCUUGCGCUAAUAGAUGAGCCUAAGUCGGAUUAGCUAGUUGGUGGGGUAAAGGCCUACCAAGGCGACGAUCUGUAGCGGGUCUGAGAGGAUGAUCCGCCACACUGGGACUGAGACACGGCCCAGACUCCUACGGGAGGCAGCAGUGGGGAAUAUUGGACAAUGGGGGGAACCCUGAUCCAGCCAUGCCGCGUGUGUGAAGAAGGCCUUAUGGUUGUAAAGCACUUUAAGCGAGGAGGAGGCUACUUUGGUUAAUACCCGGAGAUAGUGGACGUUACUCGCAGAAUAAGCACCGGCUAACUCUGUGCCAGCAGCCGCGGUAAUACAGAGGGUGCGAGCGUUAAUCGGAUUUACUGGGCGUAAAGCGUGCGUAGGUGGCUAAUUAAGUCAAAUGUGAAAUCCCCGAGCUUAACUUGGGAAUUGCAUUCGAUACUGGUUAGCUAGAGUAUGGGAGAGGAUGGUAGAAUUCCAGGUGUAGCGGUGAAAUGCGUAGAGAUCUGGAGGAACACCGAUGGCGAAGGCAAUCCCCUGGGCCUGUACUGACGCUCAUGCACGAAAGCGUGGGGAGCAAACAGGAUU
rnacentral:rRNA from 1 species